UACGAAGGGGGCUAGCGUUGCUCGGAAUCACUGGGCGUAAAGCGCACGUAGGCGGGUUCUUAAGUCGGAGGUGAAAUCCUGGAGCUUAACUCCAGAACUGCCCCCGAUACUGGGAAUCUAGAGUUCGGGAGAGGUGAGUGGAACUGCGAGUGUAGAGGUGAAAUUCGUAGAUAUUCGCAAGAACACCAGUGGCGAAGGCGGCUCACUGGCCCGAUACUGACGCUGAGGUGCGAAAGCGUGGGGAGCAAACAGG
rnacentral:rRNA from 1 species